GAUACUGGCGGACGGGUGAGUAACACGUAGGCAACCUGCCCGUAAGCUCGGGAUAACAUGGGGAAACUCAUGCUAAUACCGGAUAGGGUCUUCUCUCGCAUGAGAGGAGACGGAAAGGUGGCGCAAGCUACCACUUACGGAUGGGCCUGCGGCGCAUUAGCUAGUUGGUGGGGUAACGCCUACCAAGGCGACGAUGCGUAGCCGACUUGAGAGGGUGACCGGCCACACUGGGACUGAGACACGGCCCAGACUCCUACGGGAGGCAGCAGUAGGGAAUUUUCCACAAUGGACGAAGGUCUGACGGAGCAACGCCGCGUGAGUGAUGAAGGUUUUUCGGAUCGUAAAGCUCUG
rnacentral:rRNA from 1 species